CCGUCCAAGGCUAAAUACGG
rnacentral:snRNA from 1 species